AGAGCGAACGCUGGCGGCGUGCUUAACACAUGCAAGUCGAGUGCGCAGUUUCCUGUAGCAAUACAGGGAAUGGGCGCACGGCGCACGGGUGAGUAACACGUGGGCAAUCUGCCCUUCGGUGGGGAAUACCCCCGCGAAAGCGGGACUAAUACCGCAUGACAUUCCGGUGGCUUCGGCCGCCGGACUCAAAGGCCGCAAGGCCGCCGGAGGAGGAGCCCGCGCCCGAUUAGCUUGUUGGCGAGGUAACGGCUCACCAAGGCUUUGAUCGGUAGCUGGUCUGAGAGGACGAUCAGCCACACUGGAACCGAGACACGGUCCAGACUCCUACGGGAGGCAGCAGUGGGGAAUGUUGCGCAAUGGGCGAAAGCCUGACGCAGCGACGCCGCGUGGGGGAUGAAGCUUCUCGGAGUGUAACCCCCUUUCGACCCGGAAGAAUGACCCGCAAGGGUUUGACGGUACGGGUAUAAGAAGCCCCGGCUAACUACGUGCCGGCAGCCGCGGUAAUACGUAGGGGGCCAGCGUUGCUCGGAAUUACUGGGCGUAAAGGGUUCGUAGGCGGUGCGGCAAGUUGGGAGUGAAAUCUCCAGGCUUAACUUGGAGACGGCUUCCAAAACUGCCGUGCUCGAGUGCGGGAGAGGCCAGUGGAAUUGCAGGUGUAGCGGUGAAAUGCGUAGAUAUCUGCAGGAACACCCGUGGCGAAGGCGGCUGGCUGGACCGCAACUGACGCUGAGGAACGAAAGCUAGGGGAGCAAACAGGAUUAGAUACCCUGGUAGUCCUAGCCCUAAACCAUCAGGACUUGGGGUGGCCCGCGUAGGCGGGUCGUCCCGUAGCUAACGCGUUAAGUCCUGCGCCUGGGGAGUACGGUCGCAAGACUGAA
rnacentral:rRNA from 1 species